AUUGAACGCUGGCGGCAGGCCUAACACAUGCAAGUCGAACGGUAACAGGAAGAAGCUUGCUUCUUUGCUGUCGAGUGGCGGACGGGUGAGAAAUGUCUGGGAAACUGCCUGAUGGAGGGGGAUAACUACUGGAAACGGUAGCUAAUACCGCAUAACGUCGCAAGACCAAAGAGGGGGACCUUCGGGCCUCUUUCCAUCGGAUUUGCCCAGAUGGGAUUAGCUAGUAGGUGGGGUAACGGCUCACCUAGGCGACGAUCCGUAGCUGGUCUGAGAGGAUGACCAGCCACACUGGAACUGAGACACGGUCCAGACUCCUACGGGAGGCAGCAGUGGGGAAUAUUGCACAAUGGGCGCAAGCCUGAUGCAGCCAUGCCGCGUGUAUGAAGAAGGCCUUCGGGUUGUAAAGUACUUUUAGCGGGGAGGAAGGGAGUAAAGUUAAUACCUUCGCUCAUUGACGUUACCCGCAGAAGAAGCACCGGCUAACUCCGUG
rnacentral:rRNA from 1 species